GAUUAGUGGCUGGGUGAAAUUGUAACAAGGUAACCGUAGGGGAACCUGCGGUUGGAUCACCUCCUUACCUUAAAGAAGC
rnacentral:rRNA from 1 species